rnacentral:rRNA from 1 species
UCAAGGAUCUCCCUAGNCGGCGAGNGAAGCGGGAACAGCCUCAAAUUUGAAAUCUCAGCGCAAGCUGCGAAUUGUAGAUUUAGAGAAACGUUUUCGGGGCCGGCCGCCAGUACAAGUUCUUUGGAACAAGGCAUCACAGAGGGUGAAAAUCCCGUCUUUGACUGGCACGCUUGGUUCCAUGUGAUACGUUUUCCAAGAGCUCGGUUUGUUUGGGAAUCAGACCAAAAUGGGUGGUAAAUACCAUCUAAAGCUAAAUAUUGGCGAGAGACCGAUAGCGAACAAGUACCGUGAGGGAAAGAUGAAAAGAACUUUGAAAAGAGAGUUAAAUAGUGCGUGAAAUUGUCAAAAGGGAAACGUUUAAAACCAGUAUUGCGGGCAGAAACUCACGUUCCAUUUAUGGUGCUGUAUUUUUCUGUCAGCGAGUCAACAUCAGUUUUGCUUGGAGUAAAACGCCAGGGGAAGGUCGGCCAGGGGAAGGUAGCUUCGGGUGUUAUAGCCUCUGGUAAUGCUCUGGGCGGGACUGAGGACUGCAGCGUUCUUUGGGUUUACCACAGUCCAACGCUUAGGAUGUUGACGAAAUGGUUUUAAGCGACCCGUCUUGAAACACGGACCAAGGAGUCUAACAUAUAUGCGAGUAUUUGGGUGGCAAACCCUUAUGCGCAAUGAAAGUGAAAAGGUGGGAUCCAAAGUUGGUGCACCAUCGACCGCGCCAGAUUAUUGCUAUCUCGGCGUGAGUAUGGAGCAUACAUGUUGGGACCCGAAAGAUGGUGACUAUGCCUGAAUAGGGUGAAGCCAGAGGAAACUCUGGUGGAGGCUCGUAGCGGUUCUGCGUGCAAAUCAUCGUCAAAUUUG